UACGUAGGGUGCAAGCGUUGUCCGGAAUUAUUGGGCGUAAAGAGCUCGUAGGCGGCGCGGUAAGUCGGGUGUGAAAUCUUGGAGCUUAACUCCGAAACUGCAUUCGAUACUGCCGUGCUUGAGGACUGGAGAGGAGACUGGAAUUUACGGUGUAGCGGUGAAAUGCGUAGAUAUCGUAAGGAAGACCAGUGGCGAAGGCGGGUCUCUGGACAGUUCCUGACGCUGAGGCACGAAGGUCAGGGGAGCAAACGGG
rnacentral:rRNA from 1 species